rnacentral:rRNA from 1 species
CAGUCGCCACGGUAAUACGGAGGGUGCAAGCGUUAAUCGGAAUUACUGGGCGUAAAGCGCACGCAGGCGGUCUGACAAGUCAGAUGUGAAAUCCCCGGGCUUAACCUGAACUGCAUUUGAAACUGUCAGGCUGGAGUCUUGUAGAGGGGGGUGGAAUUCCAGGUGUAGCGGUGAAAUGCGUAGAGAUCUGGAGGAAUACCGGUGGCGAAGGCGGCCCCCUGGACAAAGACUGACGCUCAGGUGCGAAAGCGUGGGGAGCAAACAGGAUUAGAUACCCGCGUAGUCCCUGUCUCUUAUACAC